rnacentral:tRNA from 1 species
ACUGCGUUAGCUCAAUUGGUAGAGCAUUAGAGUACAAAUCCGAGUGUCACAGGUUCACAUCCCGCAAGCAUUU